rnacentral:misc_RNA from 1 species
AACGCAUAUUGCGCUCGAGCCUUCGGGCAAGAGCAUGUCUGCCUCAGCGUCGGUUUACACCCUCACCCCUCCCAAAUGUUUGGGUGCGAUUGGCGUCUAUCGCCGUCCACAGGGGUGGAUCUGGCUUCCCCAGUCUGCUAACGUCAGGUUGGGCUAGCUGAAGUGCAGAGGCUUAAGCAAGGACCCUUUGUGGCUUUAACUGGAUAGGUAGAACCGGCUCUUGCCGACUACACGAAGUUAUUGCUUGUGGACCUUGUUAGGGGCUUGGCAGGAACAUGCCAAUUGCAUGUCUAAACUUUCGACCUGAGCUCAGGCAAGGCUACCCGCUGAACUUAA